rnacentral:lncRNA from 1 species
AAAAGAAGAUUCCUGUUUGCAUGUUGUGCUCCGGUGCAGAGUUUGCCUGAGAUAGCCCAACAGCUGCAUCCUGUCUUGUCUCCUUCUAGAGAGCUUCGUGACUUUUCUGAACAGAAUACAAGAGUAGGCAGAAGACCCAGUGGGACUGGCCUUCUUUCUCUUCAGGCCACUCCAGAUGACACCAACACUGGACAAAAGACACUGUCUCCCACAUUUACUGAAUGAGCAGCUUCAGGGAGAAGAGUAGCAUCAAUGAGAACAGAAAAAACAACAUAUUCUCUGUCUGUGCUUCAGAAGAGUGCAAGAUAUUCACCAGCUGGUGUCGGAGCAGAGGCUUUAAGAGAUGGAGGAAGAAAUGGGGGAACUUCCCUGAUGAACCUUUGUCAUGGCUUUACAUCAAGAAAGAAACUUCACGNAAGAG